GGGAUUCCCCUAGUAACGGCGAGUGAAGCGGGAACAGCUCAAAUUUGAAAUCUGGCCCUUGGGUCCGAGUUGUAAUUUGCAGAGGAUGCUUUUGGUGCGGUGCCUUCCGAGUUCCCUGGAACGGGACGCCUUAGAGGGUGAGAGCCCCGUACGGUUGGACACCAAGCCUAUGUAAAGCUCCUUCGACGAGUCGAGUAGUUUGGGAAUGCUGCUCAAAAUGGGAGGUAUAUUUCUUCUAAAGCUAAAUAUUGGCCAGAGACCGAUAGCGCACAAGUAGAGUGAUCGAAAGAUGAAAAGCACUUUGAAAAGAGGGUUAAAUAGCACGUGAAAUUGUUGAAAGGGAAGGAUUUAUGACCAGACUUUUUCUAGGGGGAUCAUCCGGUGUUCUCACCGGUGCACUUCCCCUAGUUGAGGCCAGCAUCGGUUUCUGUCGGGGGAUAAAAGCUUUAGGAAUGUGGCUCCCUCCGGGGAGUGUUAUAGCCUGUUGCAUAAUACCCUGACGGGGACCGAGGUUCGCGCAUUGCAAGGAUGCUGGCGUAAUGGUUAUUAAUCACCCGUCUUGAAACACGGACCAAGGAGUCGAACAUUUGUGCGAGUGUUUGGGUGUUAAACCCUCACGCGUAAUGAAAGUGAACGGAGGUGAGAGCCUUUCGGGGUGCAUCAUCGACCGAUCCUGAUGUCUUCGGAUGGAUUUGAGUAAGAGCAUUAAUGUUCGGACCCGAAAGAUGGUGAACUAUGCGUGGAUAGGGUGAAGCCAGAGGAAACUCUGGUGGAGGCUCGCAGCGGUUCUGACGUGCAAAUCGAUCGUCAAAUCUGCGCA
rnacentral:rRNA from 1 species